CCUUCAGUGGUAACAUAACCUGCAUGAUUGUGCAAGCUUUGUUUUCUUUACACAAAAUUAGAAGGAUCAGACACUUUGUAACAGAGCAGGCUGUGAACUUCUUGUCCAAGCACUUGUGAUUUGUAUAUUAGUCUACUGCAAUGUUCUCCAGGCUGAACUUCCAUCAUCUGCUGUGAAACCUCUUUAGAUGAUCUAAAAUGCUGCAGCUUGUCUGGUCUGAGCUCUAUUUAUCCCAAUAGAGUCCUCUACACACAUCAAUAUCACAGGAGAAUUGAGCUGGUUUUCUUUCUUCUUGUUCCACUGACGCAUGCCUCAAGAGACGUCAGCGGAGUAAAAUCAGCUGCUCUUUUACCAAAAUCCACCAUCAAACCUGCAGUCCGGAGCUCUUCUCCAUCUACAGCCAGUGUUUCAGACGAACCAGCUGAUCAAUCCAGCAAAGGUGUCAACUGGCUACUCCAGCAUGAACCAGUCGUGGUAAGGCAUCUGUCCUAGAAGAAUUCUGUGCUCUGGAAUCUGCUGCAGACAAGCCCACAUCAGAUCACAGCAUUCUGUGAAAAACAAAAGGAGAGGUGAGAUUAUUAUUAUUAUUAUUAUUAUUA